UGGGGAAUUUUGGACAAUGGGCGAAAGCCUGAUCCAGCAAUGCCGCGUGUGUGAAGAAGGCCUUCGGGUUGUAAAGCACUUUUGUCCGGAAAGAAAUCCUUGGCUCUAAUACAGUCGGGGGAUGACGGUACCGGAAGAAUAAGCACCGGCUAACUACGUGCCAGCAGCCGCGGUAAUACGUAGGGUGCAAGCGUUAAUCGGAAUUACUGGGCGUAAAGCGUGCGCAGGCGGUUUGCUAAGACCGAUGUGAAAUCCCCGGGCUCAACCUGGGAACUGCAUUGGUGACUGGCAGGCUAGAGUAUGGCAGAGGGGGGUAGAAUUCCACGUGUAGCAGUGAAAUGCGUAGAGAUGUGGAGGAAUACCGAUGGCGAAGGCAGCCCCCUGGGCCAAUACUGACGCUCAUGCACGAAGGCGUGGGGAGCAAACAGGAUUAGAUACCCUGGUAGUCCACGCCCUAAACGAUGUCAACUAGUUGUUGGGGAUUCAUUCCUUAGUAACGUAGCUAACGCGUGAAGUUGACCGCCUGGGGAGUACGGUCGCAAGAUUAAAACUCAAAUGAAUUGACGGGGUCAUAGCUGUUUCCU
rnacentral:rRNA from 1 species